AAACGUACUACAACCAGCGAUAUUGUGC
rnacentral:sRNA from 1 species